UACGUAGGGUCCGAGCGUUGUCCGGAUUCAUUGGGCGUAAAGAGCUCGUAGGCGGCUGCUCAAGUCGAAUGUGAAAACUCGAGGCUCAACCUCGAGCCUGCAUUCGAUACUGGGCGGCUAGAGUCUGGUAGGGGGAUCUGGAAUUCCUGGUGUAGCGGUGGAAUGCGCAGAUAUCAGGAGGAACACCGGUGGCGAAGGCGGGUCUCUGGGCCGAUACUGACGCUGAGGAGCGGAAGCGUGGGGAGCGAACAGG
rnacentral:rRNA from 1 species